rnacentral:rRNA from 1 species
CACUAUGCCUAGCCGUAAACAUUGAUAGUAACCUACACCCACUAUCCGCCCGGGGACUACGAGCAUCAGCUUAAAACCCAAAGGACUUGGCGGUGCUUUAGAUCCACCUAGAGGAGCCUGUUCUAGAACCGAUUACCCCCGUUCAACCUCACCUUUCCUUGUCCCUCCCGCCUAUAUACCACCGUCGUCAGCUUACCCUGUGAAGGACUAAUAGUAAGCAAGAUUGGCAUAGCCCAAAACGUCAGGUCGAGGUGUAGCGUAUGGAAAGGGAAGAAAUGGGCUACAUUCCCUAAUAUAGUGAACUACGAAUGAUACGCUGAAACACGUAUCUGAAGGAGGAUUUAGCAGUAAGCAGAAAAAAGAGCGUUCCGCUGAAACCGGCCCUGAAGCGCGCACACACCGCCCGUCACUCUCCCCGAGCUCAUCAACCUUUUAUAUCUAAAACCUAAAAACUGCAAAGGGGAGGCAAGUCGUAA